UACAGAGGUCUCAAGCGUUGUUCGGAUUCAUUGGGCGUAAAGGGUGCGUAGGUGGCGCGUUAAGUCAGGUGUGAAAUUUCGGAGCUUAACUCCGAAACUGCAUUUGAUACUGGCGUGCUUGAGGACUGGAGAGGAGACUGGAAUUUACGGUGUAGCGGUGAAAUGCGUAGAUAUCGUAAGGAAGACCAGUGGCGAAGGCGGCUACCUGGACCAGCACUGACACUGAGGCACGAAAGCGUGGGGAGCAAACAGG
rnacentral:rRNA from 1 species